AGCGAACGCUGGCGGCAUGCCUAACACAUGCAAGUCGCACGGGUCGGCAUUGGCCGGUCGGUGUCGGACGGGUGAGGAACGCGUAGGGAUCUGUCCUCUGGGGGGUGAUCACCGCGGGAAACUGCGACUAAGACCGCAUGAGGCGCCGGCGUGAGAGCCCGUGUCAGUGGCGCGCAUCGAGCGGUGUGUGUCGCCGGGGGGUGUGGCUGCGUCCGAGUAGCUGGUGGGCGGGGUGGUGGCGCACCAAGGCGUCGCUCGGUAGCUGGUCUGAGAGGGUGAGCAGCCACACUGGGACUGAGACACGGCCCAGACUACUACGGGAGGCAGCAGUGGGGAAUAUUGGACAAUGGGCGCAAGCCUGAUCCAGCAAUGCCGGGUGGGUGAAGAAGGUCUUCGGAUUGUAAAGCCCUUUCGGCGGGGACGAUGGUGACGGUACCCGCAGAAGAAGCCCCGGCUAACUUCGUG
rnacentral:rRNA from 1 species